GAAGAGCUUCUUGGAGAGAGGAGACUGGAAGAAGCCUUGAACCUUCUUCGGCUUAUGAUGAAACAGGAUUAUCGACCAUAUCGAGAGCCUUUUGUCCAGUAUAUCUCAAAAUUUGGUUCCGUGGAGGAUGCUUGGGAAUUUUUGAUGGCACUCAGUAAAAAAACGUAUCCAUCUCUUUUGGCUUGCCAACGUGUUUUCAAGUCCUUCUUUAAUGAGGGUAGACAUUGUGAGGCCAAGGAGCUUCUUUUAAAGUGCCCUGAUCAUAUUAGCAGACGUCCCGCAAUUUGCACCCUUUUUGGUUCUUCAUAGAGCAGCAACCCAGAAGCAACUUCAGCUUGAGAUCAUCACUUAGAAGUACGUGUUUAGUUGAUACCUAAAUGUUCAUAAGGUUGUAAUUACAAAGGUACCAUGUGCACUGCUGGCCUUUCUUUUGCUGAACUUUGCAGAGUGUAGAUUAGUAUUGAAAGUUUUCUCUUGCAAUGAGUAGAGGAAUAGUAAUGACUAGGAGCUUGUCUUGGCCAAAACUCCUGAGUCAUGGCUAAGGCCUUUAUUUCUUUUGGCCUUGAAAGACCCUCAGAUAUAUAAUCUAACAUCUAAGUCUUGGGAGGGAUACGAUUGUAUAUGAUGCAUCUUUCAAGAAAUGUAUGUACUUGCUCUAUCUGCAAAACAUUUUCUUUUCAUGAUAUGAUUUGGCAAUGUGCAGAGUCUUCAUGAUGAACAUUUCACAGCAUUAUCUACUAUCAAACUCUUUAUCUCAGUAUUCGCAUGUUUAGAAGGUUCUUCUCCAUGGUUAUACAUCUUCAUUUGUUGUAUCAUGUUCUCCUACUUUUCUUUUACAGUGCUCAUUUGCAUUGCUCGUCCUCUUAUGGUCACACAGUAGUCCUGCUGUAUGCGCUAAUCUGGCCUCAAAUUUCUUUCACACUCUGUCCAACAAGUAUGAGUACAAUACUUUGAAAUUGUUCGCCUUUUUGUUUAUCAUGGCUGGCACAAAGAAUCUUUACCCGGAUGGCCAAAUGGAGUUUUCCAAUUAUCUUCUUUGAGAUUAGACACUUAGAAUUUUGGAUAGUUACAAAUGAUUCAAUAUCUGUAUCAUAUGAAUUUUGGGGUCUACUAAUGCAUUUUUUUUUAUCUCACCAGUUAGAAGUUGGUUGAAACAAAUUAUUUUCUUGUCAUUCCUCAAAAACUGAAGAAUGUGAAUGUUCCUCAAAAUACUAUUCAUGGAAUAGUGAAUUGGAAUGUGGGAAGCUCUUAUAUAAUGAAAGAUAGUGGAACUGGCUCUCAAAAUCAAAGGCAAUUAUCUUUGACCAUGUGGAUAACAUUUGAACAAGUAAAGAAUUCGCAAUUGUGAGUGUAAUGACUUGUUCUUAUGAAAAUGAUGAUAAAUCUGGGAAUAAUAGUUACUAUCCAAAUAGUCGAUUUCAGUAAAGAAUUUUCUUUUUCUAGAGGGCUUCAUAACAAAUCACUUGUAUAAAAGUUUGCCUCAGGCAUUAUUUAUGUCAGAGAAGUAUCCAUUUCAAGAAGUGUUUUAUGCUCUGAAUACUCUUCAAAUAUUGUAACUAUUAGAUAUAUAUAUAUAUAUAAUGAAAUAAAUAAAACUAAUCAACAUAUAUAUAUAUAUAUAAGAUUGCAAACUUGUACCAAUUUCUCUUUCAUAAUUCUUCAAGAUAUUUCAUUAAGAAAGUCAUUACCUAUUCCCAAAGCUGCCUUUUUUUUUUUUUUUCAAGAACACAUGCAUCAUGAUGAAGUAACUUUAAAUUUGAGACUAUUGGAUUAUAUGGAUCACAUAGGAAAAGAUUGGCAAGGGGUGGCGGGUGCAAAUCAAGAAAUAUAAGUUCAGAUGGGGACAAUACAAUACAUAAUUAGCACAAACUUCUCCUGCGUAAAGCCGUAGACCAGCAUGCUGUACCUAAUUUUCCAAAAAAGGCCAUCGGUUUACUUGAAUCCGGAUGCGGGUCUUCCCUACUUUCCAAAAAAGGCCAUCUAUAGUUCUGUACCAGGAACCCGCUUUCCAACUCCUAAAACCCGCAAAAAAAAAAAAAAAAUCCCAUUUCAAGAAAACGUCUGCAAAUGACGGCGGAAGCAGCAAUGAAGCAACAAGCCAGGAGACUCCUGAGUUGUCUCCGAUUCGCCAACUCGCUCCACUCAACUCACCUGCUGAGAAGUCGCUCGCUCCACACUCAGGUGACUCGGUUCCCUCACUGUUUAUCCCCUUUUCUUUUCACCCGAAGUUUCAAUUACAGUGUUUUUUCGGCUUUUAGAUCCCGGCUUAAAAAGAUUGUAGAAGACAUACAAUCAGAAAGAGCGCGAGGGACAAUUUCUUUGACCGAGUUACUGAGAGAAGAAGCAAAUUCUUCCUUUUCCCAGUCGGAAGCUGCUGGGAAAAGUUGGUUCAGGCCAUGUUCUUCACGAUAUAGAUUAAAGCUGCAAUCGUGUGCUAUACGUAAUGAUAUGAAGGGGUUUUGGGCUGUUUUUGAAAACGUUAGAAAAAAGGGAAAGUAUAUCGAUGAGGAGACGUUUUUAGUUGUAGAAUCGGAACUUAUUAAGUUGGAUAGGGUUGAUGAUGCUAAGGAGUUGAAGCUUUUUUAUCAAAAAUUGAUUCUUGAAAUUCCUAUCAAGAGAGCUGUGAAUUUGGUGGCUGAGAACUCGGAUUGGGGCGGUGAAUUGGAGAGAAAAUUGGGAGAGAAUAGCAUAUCAGUGCAGGAGAAUUUUGUUUUGGGGGUGUUGGAGGGGCUUGGGAAAAAAGGUUUGCCUUUGAAAGCUUUGAGUUUUUUCAAAUGGGUUCGGGAGAGUCUGGGGUUUGAGCAUGAUAAUUUUACUUAUAAUUGUAUUCUUAGGUUUCUUUGCAGGGAAGAGGCGAUUUCGGAGUUUUGGAGUAUGUUCAAGGAGAUGAAAGACGCUGGUUAUGUAAUUGAUACUGAUACUUAUGUUCAAGUAAUGAGGGAGUUUCGGAUGAGGAAGAUGGUGAAGGACGCUGUUGAGCUUUUUGAGCAUAGGAUGAAUAGUCCAUUUCAGUAUUUGUCCAACGAGUGUAGUUUGCUUUUGCAUGCCAUUGCAUCGGCUGUUGAUCCUGACUUGGAUCUGAUGUCUAGAGUUGUGAAGAAAUAUGAGGCAGCUGGGUAUUGUUUAUUGAAGAGUGACUAUGAGGGGAUCCACUGUUGUUUGUUGAGUGCUGGAAAGUUUGAUGAAGCAGAGCAGAUCAUACGGACCAUGAACAGAGCUGGUUAUGAACCAUCUAGUAUCAUCCACAAACAAUUGAUUUUUGGACUUUGUAAAGCAAGAAGGCUAGAAGAAGCCAUUGAAUUACUAGAUGAGAUGGAAGCUCAGGGAUGUAUUCCUGUUGUUGAGACUGCGAUGAUCGCAGUAAUGAGAUGUUGUUGUGAUAUCGAUGGAGUUGACAAGGCAUUCCUAUGGUUUGGAAAGAUGGUGAAAAAAGGCUUUGAUGCAGAUGCUGGUCUUCUGGAUGUUCUAGUCAAUGGAUUUCUGAAAGAGAAGAGGGUCAUUGAAGGAUACCAGUUUCUUGUGGAAAUGGUUGACAAGGCUCGUGUGGCACCACGGCAUGCUACACUUAAGAAUCUGAUUGAAGAGCUUCUUGGAGAGAGGAGACUGGAAGAAGCCUUGAACCUUCUUCGGCUAAUACAGAAACGGAAUUAUGAACCGGAUCCAGAGCCUUUCAUCCAGUAUAUCUCGAAGUUUGGUUCUGUGGAGGGUGCUUGGGUGUUUUUGAGGACACUAAGUAAGAAGCAGAGUAAAAAGCAUGUAUCUGUCUUGGGUUGCCAACUUGUUUUUCAGUCCUUCUUUAAUGAGGGUAGACGUUCUGAGGCUGAGGAGCUGUUCUGUAAGUGCCCUAGAUAUAUUCACAAAAAUC
rnacentral:lncRNA from 1 species